AUUAGAGUUUGAUCCUGGCUCAGGAUGAACGCUGGCGGCGUGCCUAACACAUGCAAGUCGAGCGGUAAGGCUCUCACAGAUUAUUUGACCGAGACAAGUCUUUUGGGUUUCCAGAGGAAAUCCAAAAAUCGUUUAACGAAAGAAGAACGAAGGGACAGGUCUCAGCCUGCAAUUUAGCGGGCACAGGUCGAAUAAUGUGUGAGAGUACACGAGCGGCGGACGGCUGAGUAACACGUAGGAACGUACCCCAAACUGAGGGAUAAGCAUCAGAAAUGGUGUCUAAUACCGCAUGUGCUCUUCGGAGUAAAGCUACGGCGGUUUGGGAACGGCCUGCGUCCGAUUAGCUUGUUGGUGAGGUAAUAGCUCACCAAGGCGACGAUCGGUAGCUGGUCUGAGAGGAUGAUCAGCCAGACUGGGACUGAGAACGGCCCAGACUCCUACGGGAGGCAGCAGUGGGGAAUUUUCCACAAUGGACGAAAGUCUGAUGGAGCAACGCCGCGUGCAGGAUGAAUGCCUUCGGGUUGUAAACUGCUUUUAUCUGUGACGAAUAUGACGGUAGCAGAUGAAUAAGGAUCGGCUAACUCCGUGCCAGCAGCCGCGGUCAUACGGAGGAUCCAAGCGUUAUCCGGAAUUACUGGGCGUAAAGAGUUGCGUAGGUGGCAAAGUAAGCAAAUAGUGAAAGCGUGGGGCUCAACCUCAUAUCCAUUAUUUGAACUGCUUAGCUAGAGGAUGAGAGAGGUCGCUGGAAUUCCUAGUGUAGGAGUGAAAUCCGUAGAUAUUAGGAGGAACACCGAUGGCGUAGCAGGCGACUGGCUCAUUCCUGACACUAAGGCACGAAAGCGUGGGGAGCAAACGGGAUUAGAUACCCCGGUAGUCCACGCCGUAAACUAUGGAUGCUAGCUGUUAACCGUAUCGACCCGGUUAGUAGCGAAGCUAACGCGUUAAGCAUCCCGCCUGUGGAGUACGGUCGCAAGACUAAAACAUAAAGGAAUUGACGGGGACCCGCACAAGCGGUGGAGCGUGUUCUUUAAUUCGAAGGUAAGCGAAGAACCUUACCAGGGUUUGACAUCCUAGGAAUUUCUCCGAAAGGAGAAAGUGCUUUAUUGAGCCUAGUGACAGGUGUUGCAUGGCCGUCGUCAGCUCGUGUCGUGAGAUGUUUGGUUAAGUCCAUCAACGAGCGCAACCCUUAUAUUCAGUUGGAUUUUUCUGAAUAGACUGCCCCGGCAACGGGGAGGAAGGAGGGGAUGAUGUCAGGUCAGUAUUACCCUUACACCCUGGGCUAGAAACACGCUACAAUGGCCGGUACAAAGGGCUGCCAAGUCGCGAGACGGAGCAAAUCCCAUCAAAGCCGGUCUCAGUUCGGAUAGCAGGCUGAAACUCGCCUGCUUGAAGCUGGAAUCGCUAGUAACGGUAGGUCAGCACACUACCGUGAAUACGUUCCCGGGUCUUGUACACACCGCCCGUCAAACCAUGAAAGUCGCCAAUACCUGACGUGUUAGCUUUGCCUAGCCCUAAGGUAGGGGAGAUGAUUGGGGUUAAGUCGUAACAAGGUAACCAU
rnacentral:rRNA from 1 species